AAACUUUCAACAACGGAUCUCUUGGGUCUGGGAACAAUAAAAAAAACACCGAAACGCGAAAGGGAAUGCGAAUUGCAGAAUCAGUGAGUCAUUGAAUCUUUGAACGCACAUUGCGCCUCUCGGUAUUCCGGGAGGCACGCCUGUUCGAGGGCCAUUA
rnacentral:rRNA from 1 species